GGUUGUGUAGUGUAGUGGUGAUCACUCCGGAUUUUGAUUCCGGCAACCCCGGUUCGAACCCGGGCACGACCU
rnacentral:tRNA from 1 species